rnacentral:rRNA from 1 species
GCCAGCAGCCGCGGUAAUACGGAAGGUCCGGGCGUUAUCCGGAUUUAUUGGGUUUAAAGGGAGCGUAGGCUGGAGAUUAAGUGUGUUGUGAAAUGUAGACGCUCAACGUCUGACUUGCAGCGCAUACUGGUUUCCUUGAGUACGCACAACGUUGGCGGAAUUCGUCGUGUAGCGGUGAAAUGCUUAGAUAUGACGAAGAACUCCGAUUGCGAAGGCAGCUGACGGGAGCGCAACUGACGCUGAAGCUCGAAGGUGCGGGUAUCGAACAGGAUUAGAUACCCUGGUAGUCCGCACAGUAAACGAUGGAUGCCCGCUGUUGGUACCUGGUAUCAGCGGCUAAGCGAAAGCAUUAAGCAUCCCACCUGGGGAGUACGCCGGCAACGGUGAAACUCAAAGGAAUUGACGGGGGCCCGCACAAGCGGAGGAACAUGUGGUUUAAUUCGAUGAUACGCGAGGAGCCUUACCCGGGCUUGAA